rnacentral:rRNA from 1 species
AUUGAACGCUGGCGGCAGGCCUAACACAUGCAAGUCGAACGAGUGGCGGACGGGUGAGUAAUGUCUGGGAAACUGCCUGAUGGAGGGGGAUAACUACUGGAAACGGUAGCUAAUACCGCAUACCAUCGGAUGUGCCCAGAGGGGAUUAGCUAGUAGGUGGGGUAAAGGCUCACCUAGGCGACGAUCCCUAGCUGGGCUGAGAGGAUGACCAGACAGACUGGAACUGAGACACGGCCCCGACGCCUACGGGAGGCAGCAGUGGGGAAUAUUGAACAAUGGGCGCAAGCCUGAUGGAGCCAUGCCGCGUGUAUGAAGAAGGCCUGCGGGUUGUAAAGUACGUUCAGAGGGGAGGCGUUACCCGCAGAAGAAGCACCGGCUAACUCCGCGCCAGCAGCCGCGGUAAUAC